CUUCGUUUCAUACGAAUAAAAUGCAAAUGUUAUAUUUGUUUAGGAAUAUGAGGUACAAUUGGGUGUCUAACACGAUUUAGUUAAGCUUAUUCAUGACGCAUUCCUUCGUAUCCGCCCGUAUCCCCAAUGUUCCUAUUUUAUGCGGGAAAUUUAAUUGAACAGCGAAGAAAGCUAAGCAAAUAAAAUGUCUGCAACUUUCUCUUCUUUCUUCAAGGUAUUUUCAAAUGAAAUGUGUGUAAAUAAGUACAAAAGAGAGCGAAGAAUGCACACGGACAACGGAAAGCUCGUUAAAAGUUUCUUGGUUGGAUCAUUAGUACAUCACCUGGGCUGUAACUGGAUGGGAAAAAAUUUGAAAAGAUUUGAAAACAUGAUCAGUUUCCAUUCUUACUAUUCAAAGAGGAUUCUUUACAAAAAGAUCCAUUUGCUUUCAUAUCUUGAGUUAAAAUGGUGACUUUGUAUCGAGGAAUUGGUCUGAAAUACAAGCUAAAAUUACAA